GACGAACGCUGGCGGCGUGCUUAACACAUGCAAGUCGAACGGGUCUGCCCUGUUUUUUGCGGGUUGGGUCAGUGGCGAACGGGUGAGUAACACGUGAGUAACCUGCCCCUCACUUCUGGAUAACCGCUUGAAAGGGUGGCUAAUACGGGGUGUUCUGGCUGUGCCGCAUGGUGUGGCUGGGAAAGAUCCACUUUUGUGGUGUUUUGGUGGGGGAUGGGCUCGCGGCCUAUCAGCUUGUUGGUGGGGUGAUGGCCUGCCAAGGCUUUGACGGGUAGCCGGCCUGAGAGGGUGGGCGGUCACACUGGGACUGAGAUACGGCCCAGACUCCUGCGGGAGGCAGCAGUGGGGGGUAUUGCACAAUGGGCGGAAGCCUGAUGCAGCGACGUCGCGUGAGGGAUGGAGGCCUUCGGGUUGUGAACCUCUUUCGCCGGUGAAGAAGGUCCUGCUCUUUGUGGUGGGGUUGACGGUAGCCGGGUUAUGAAGCGCCGGCUAACUACGUG
rnacentral:rRNA from 1 species